GGCUCGUUGGUCUAGGGAUAUGAUUCUCACUUAGGGUGCGAGGGGUCCUGGGUUCAACUCCCAGAUGAGCCC
rnacentral:tRNA from 1 species